rnacentral:rRNA from 1 species
UACGGAGGAUACGAGCGUUAUCCGGAUUUAUUGGGUUUAAAGGGUGCGUAGGCGGAUCGUUAAGUCAGUGGUCAAAUUGAGGGGCUCAACCCCUUCCCGCCAUUGAAACUGGCGAUCUUGAGUGGAAGAGAAGUAUGCGGAAUGCGUGGUGUAGCGGUGAAAUGCAUAGAUAUCACGCAGAACCCCGAUUGCGAAGGCAGCAUGCCGGCUUCCUACUGACGCUGAAGCACGAAAGCGUGGGGAUCGAACAGG